CGUGUCGGGCAGCUGUGCCGCCUGGGGCCCCACAGCCUCUGUGUUGCCAGGGGUGGCCGGAGUGCUCCUGAUGGGACAGAAGGAGGAGCUCCAGGUCCUCAGUGAGGCCCUUCAAGCCCUGAGCGAAUAUGAGUGCCCCUCCUUUAUAAAGCAAUUUGUCCAGCUGACAUUCGACGCAAGAUCUGCCGAACUGCGCCUGCAGGAUGGGAAGAACCAGUGUCCUUUGGCCACCCCCACUUCCCACUGAAGAUGGGACUAACUGCAGAGCAGAGGGGACCAGCUGAAGCUGCAGGCCCAGCAGCUCUUGCUGGUCACAGCCGAGCCUGUGGCAACCUUCAGGAGCUCCUCCCUUCCUGUUGGUAGUUCCCUCCCUCUAGCCCCCAAGCCCUGCCCAUCCCCUUUUUUCCCUCCCAGUUCACCCCUUCACUUUGCCUUCCCUUAAUAAACACUUUGGCUUUUUCACAUGACUCGUGGCUCCCUCUGUGGAGCUGAAGCAGCACAAAUCCUGAGCCCAGGGACAUGCAGGGCCCUGUUGCCAUCCUCUUCCACGCCGUCGUCUGUGCACGGGCAGAGAGGAACAAGGGCAGCUCAAGCUGCAGAGGUCCCUGUCCUGCUGCUCCAGUUGCACAGCACCAUGGAGUUGAAGGUCAUGCUGAGCACACUGAAGGGAACAAGGACCCUGGGUUUUAGAAGAGCCAGCUUGAGUAUGCUCUUCCAUGGCAAACAUCCACCGAGGGCAAAGGAGCUUGCGGUGCUUUUCACUACACCCGUCCUGUACUGAAGUGGCUGUUGUGAAAAAUACAGCCAGCCCCAUGAAACUUACCAGUGUGAAGAAACUGCUGCACAGCAACAGCUGAACUUCAGUGUGUCUGAGCCAGUGCUGCAGGCUCAAAUGCUGCCAGCAUUAUCUCUGCACCCUGGGACACUUCCCGGUUCCUGUGCCUUGACACUGCUUUCCCAUGGGGCUGGGGAAGGAGUUUGGCUCUAUGAACUGCCUGGUGCUGUGAAACAGGUUCAUUUUUGUCA